UACCAGCACCCCGAGUGGUCGGGACGAUUAUUGGGCCUAAAGCAUCCGUAGCCGGUUUUACAAGUCCUCCGUUAAAUCCAACUGCUUAACAGAUGGGCCGCGGAGGAUACUAUAAGACUAGGAGGCAGGAGAGGCAAGCGGUACUCAGUGGGUAGGGGUAAAAUCCGUUGAUCCAUUGAAGACCACCAGUGGCGAAGGCGGCUUGCCAGAAUGCGCUCGACGGUGAGGGAUGAAAGCUGGGGGAGCAAACCGGAUUAGAAACCCCCGUAGUCC
rnacentral:rRNA from 1 species